rnacentral:rRNA from 1 species
GGUCAUUGGAAACUGGGAGACUUGAGAGCAGAAGAGGAAAGUGGAAUUCCAUGUGUAGCGGUGAAAUGCGUAGAGAUAUGGAGGAACACCAGUGGCGAAGGCGACUUUCUGGUCUGUAACUGACACUGAGGCGCGAAAGCGUGGGGAGCAAACAGGAUUAGAUACCCUGCUAGUCCACGCCGUAAACGAUGAGUGCCAAGUGUUAGAGGGUUUCCGCCCUUUAGUGCUGAAGUUAACGCAUUAAGCACUCCGCCUGGGGAGUACGGCCGCAAGGCUGAAACUCAAAGGAAGUGACGGGGGCCCGCACAAGCGGUGGAGCAUGUGGUUUAAUUCGAAGCAACGCGAAGAAACUUACC